ACACCAUGUUGAGGGCACGAUUGCGUGAAGCCCUUCAAUCUCUCCCAAACUUCAUAGAGAGCCUCAACAGAUCCUUGCUUGAAGCUUGUGAUAUCAUUCCUAAGCCU
rfam:Arabis alpina cultivar Pajares scaff_41607_1_contig_11, whole genome shotgun sequence.